GAGAGAGCCCUGCUUCUUGUGGAGCAAAUCAAAGACAAUCAGAGCCCACUUGUUACAUACCUUCUGGAAGUGGCAAAACUUCAAUGGCAGCUACAAUUGGUAUAGAGAGUGAUUUCCCAUAUGUCAAGAUUAUAUCUGCAGAAAGCAUGAUUGGUCUCGGUGAAGCAAGUAAAUGUGCA